rnacentral:rRNA from 1 species
CUACGUGCCAGCAGCCGCGGUAAUACGUAGGUCCCGAGCGUUGUCCGGAUUUAUUGGGCGUAAAGCGAGCGCAGGCGGUUAGAUAAGUCUGAAGUUAAAGGCUGUGGCUUAACCAUAGUACGCUUUGGAAACUGUUUGACUUGAGUGCAAGAGGGGAGAGUGGAAUUCCAUGUGUAGCGGUGAAAUGCGUAGAUAUAUGGAGGAACACCGGUGGCGAAAGCGGCUCUCUGGCUUGUAACUGACGCUGAGGCUCGAAAGCGUGGGGAGCAAACAGGAUUAGAUACCCUGGUAGUCCACGCCGUAAACGAUGUCGACUUGGAGGUUGUGCCCUUGAGGCGUGGCUUCCGGAGCUAACGCGUUAAGUCGACCGCCUGGGGAGUACGGCCGCAAGGUUAAAACUCAAAUGAAUUGACGGGGGCCCGCACAAGCGGUGGAGCAUGUGGUUUAAUUCGAUGCAACGCGAAGAACCUUACCUACUCUUGACAUCCAGA